ensembl:lncRNA
GUUUUUUAACAUCUCUUGCCAAUUGAUUCAUAUACCUCAUAACUCAGCCAUGCAUCCUAAGUAAUCCUGUGUUUUUCAGUGACCCUCAAUAUGGGGAAAUGUAAAAAAUAUUAUUAUUUAAAUUGCAAAGUUUAAAUUCCUUUUAAGAAAAAUUUUAGGUAAAGAAAGAUGCUACCUCUCUGAAUCCAGAAACUGAACUGUUUGGAGAAGACACCAUGAAGAUGCCUCCAGACCACAACCUGCAGGAAAAGAUCAAGAAUGAACUUUCAGUGUGGUUGAUUGAACAUUUAUUUGUAUUUAUACUUUCAUGCCAAAGGGGACUGCCCCUUAACUGGCUUUUUCAAUGUGUCCAGUGAUUAUUGGUUUUGUUCUUUUUUAUCCUCUUAUCAUCAAAUUAUUGUAAUCUUUAAAUUGAUUAUGUUUUCAUGAUCCUUUGGGGGAAAAUUUUUUUUUCUCAACCAGUAUCAUACGGUGAAAUGUAAAAAUGGAGAUUUGAACCCCAGACUUCAAUCCCCAGAAGUCCUUGCUAGCUCCCAGAAUUCUCUCUAAUCUCCCUGAGGACAAGAUCACAAAUUAUUAUUUAAAGGAGCUUUCCACCUACUGAGCUCUCUUCCUACUUCCACUGUGGAGCACACACGGCUCUCCACCUAGCAGGCAAGAUUCAUGGAAGUCCAUUGGCAAGACAAAAGUCAAGAUAACUAAUGAUAGCUCAGGAUGUACUGGAUGACCUUGUAGUCUUUCCUGUCUGACCAAGCUCUAAGUGCUCCACAGAGACUGCUUCAGUUGCCUCUAUGGCCGUUGGAACAAACUGUUCUAUUCUACCCAUUCCACUGGAGGAAAUCUUCACAUGCUUGAAGCAGACAUUUCUGUUUCACUAAUGUGUUUAAGACCUAUAGGUUACCUUCAACUUGAUUUAGCAUGUCUGCCAAGAUAGCUUUACCAGGAUAUGGUUGCUGUGCAUGCUACAGCUUCUUGGAAACACAGAUCGCUCCUGCUCCAGCUGGCCACCUCAGCUCCGGGCCAGCUCUUACUCCUUGCCUCUCUCUUGCUCACCCUGCCCAUCUGAUCCUGACCCCAGCAACUCUGGCCUCUGGCCUCCGACCCAGAUGCCUCAUCACCCUAGGCCAAGCCCCAGGACCCAGACUGCUGGUAGCAGACCCAAUUUCUUCAGGAUCACAAACCAGCUGUGGAUCAUGGGCAGAUAUGAAGUGGAAAUGGAUCUCAUUUUUGGAGCCAGUGCCAAGCUGAGGAAGCCUGAUCCUGAUCUGUUAUGCAAGUGGUGCACAUUACUUAAUAAAUCAAUGUGCUCAGAAGCUUGAGCCUUUUUUUCCUUAUUUAUUUUAGAUUUCACCCAUCACAAAAUUGACUAGCUUAUGUCACACUAAGGUAUUUAUUCCUAUUCACUCAACUUCAAGUCAAUUGAGCAAACAUUUAUUAAGAGGCCGUUAUAUGCAAGGUUAAACAUAUAUAUAUAUAUAUAUAUAUAUAUAUAUAUAUAUAUAUAUAUAUAUAUAUUCUAGGGUAGCUCUCCAGCCUCUGACCCCCACCUGACACCCAGCUCUCACUUGUGGCUCCUAGUAGCUGCUAGCAUGUGGCAGUGGCCACACCCCGGGCAACAGCUUCGACAGGCAAGGCUAAACCUUGUGAGAGUAGCCAUCGGGUUGUCGACCCCUGGUGAACCAGGGCUUUGCUCACCCAGCAUGUGAAGACUGCUUUGACUGAACAGACAGAAGAAACCAAUAAGAAGGUUCAACAGCUGAGAUGGU